rnacentral:lncRNA from 10 species
GUUCUGCAUGUCACAGAGGAAGUAGGCAUAUUUGAGGAAGACUUUCUCAAGGAUUUUUUUCAGAAGUUACACGGAAUAUGUCUGCCUCUCCUGUCUCACCUCCUUCACCUCUUCCACCUCUGCCACCCUGAGACAGCAAGAAAAACUCCACCCUUUUUUCCUCUUCCUGAGCCUAUCAACAUGAGGACAAUGGGAAUGAAGAUUUUAUGAUGAUCCACACCCACUAAGUGAAUAGGUCUCACCACUGCAGCCAUCAUCAAAAGUGGUUAUUACCAAGACUAGAUUGCAGCUCCGGACAGAGCAGCUGGCAGGGACUCAUAUUGUGAAUUGCAGCUCCAGCUCGACUGCAAGAACAAACCAGCAAUCCCGAGAGGACCCACAGACCCUCUAAAGGAAGUGGACUGCUCCUGCAGGACCUGGGAGACACCCCAAAUAUUAUCUAUAAACUCAAUUUUAGGAAGUCAAGUAUCUUCCCGAAAGUCACACAAGUAAAGAUGGACUUGGGUCUCUAAUCCAUUUGUUUGACUUCAAAACAUGUUAUCUCCAUUCCACUACCUCUUCUGUUCAGUGGAAUGAAAGAGGUUAAAACAGUUCACAGGGUCCAUGGAGUGAAUGAAAAAUGAAAAUGGGAAGAUAAAAUACAGAUUAUAGUUUUCAAGGAUUGGAGCUGGAAGGAGUUGCCUGUUUGAGAGCUGUGUUAAGGUCUGAGAAACAUGUGCAUGUUGUGCACUGCAAGAAAGGAAUCAAGAGGAAGGAGAGGAUGGAGAUAUAGAAGAUGAAAAUCAGCCAGAGUAACAAGGCUCCAGGAAAGCCACAUGGCUAUGUGCAUCCCUUAGAGAAACAAAUUGGAAAAAGGGAUGAGAAAACUGCUGCUCAGAACGUUAAAGGGACUUAUCCAAACUCAUGAGAUAAGUAAAAGGCAGAACAAAGUUUUAAAUCAGCUCUCACUGGUCCUAAAGCCUGUACUUAUUCCACAGUACUAUUGGAAAACAGAGGAGUGCCAAACAAGUGACUCACCUAAAUCAAUGCUGAAGACACACAGAAUAUUGAAGGAUCAACUCUACUUCUUCGAAAUAUACUUUAAUACUUUCACUGCCAAACCAGAGUUCAAGAAAUAACUGCGGUGGAAUGAUAAUGAGAAGUUUAACAGUUUUAUGAUGGUUGAAGCUGACUUUAUGAAAGUUGAUAAAUUUCAUCUUGUAGGUUUCAAUUUCUCAUUCCCUACCGAGAGAUGGGGAGAAUACAUUGACACUGCAUUUCAAAUUGGCUAGAUCAGAAGGAACAGCAGCUAAAAUCCAUUACAACCCAAUUACAUCCAUCAGCUGAAGCUGUGUGCAUUCACUUGUGAACAUCAGCAUUUAAUCCAUAAAGAGGAACUAAUGAGAAAUUUGAAAAUGGAAUCCACGCAUCAGUAAGUUUAGAGAGAUUUUUCUGGGAUUAAUGAUCUGCCAGAGCAUCUUCAGCAUUCUGGAAAGCUAUUCUCUCUGGGUUUGUUUACUGACCAAGAGAAAAAAAAAGGGGGUUUCCUUCUGUCUGCUCAUCAAAUAUUUGAAAGACUACUCAUUUCAGUCCUUGAAAAUGGGAUACCGUGAGCUUUGGAAGUAAGUUCCUUGCAGGUUGCCACACUGAUUUUUG